UUGUUUCCCCACAUUUCUUUCCUCCAUUCAUCUCGCCAGUCACUAUUCAAACCGCCUCAUUUACUUUAUUUGUUGGUGAACUUAUUGGUUUAGUGAGCUGUACCUCGCUACCCGUUUGACUCUGUAAGCUUUUUGUCUUAUAAGAUUAACAUCACUAAAUAUGCCAAUUACUGCAUUCUGCUUUUGACAGUUACAUUUCUCUAAACUCUAAAUACAUCUAUGCAAGCUGGCUUAAUGAAUAAUUUCUAGAAGUAUUUCUUGUCUCGGAAAGCUGGACCAGCUUACUAAUAAAAAAAGGGCAUCACAGUAUAUCAAGCUAUGUAUUCAUACUCAAGUAACGCCGUCAAAUUCAGACCUCAACUCCUGUCUGCAGUUGGACCACUGCAGCUGUGCCUUUUCAUGACCACAUUGGCUCAGUCAAAGGUCUAUAUUUAACUGAGUGGCCCCCCGGGGGGUUAGUCUUCCGCAGCCUUGAAUGGGCAGGGUCAUUCACUCGUGCACCAGUCACAGCACUGAGGGGGGCCGCUGAAAUGCACUGUAGUUUAUGUCUGUUUCUCCCCCGCAGGAACUCUUCCCACGACAAAGAGCUGAGGGGACACCACCUGUGCUCUGCUUACAUCUGAGACCAAACAUGGCACGACCCGCACAUCUAGACACAGUGCGGCAGUGAGACCGAGCAUUGCUGCCCACAGGGAUGUGUCUCACAGCCAACAGGCAGGAAGCAGCCGGGCAGAGUGGUCACGGUGUAAAGGGCAGAAGCAGAGCAGCAGCUAGUCGGGGUCAGUGAAGUUUCUUGUAAGGAUUGGGUGACAGCUACAGCUAUAUCUGUGCAAGUUUGCUGUAGCUCUCAUGUACAUUUUCAGGAAAGUGAAAUCAAAGCCACACAUCGCUCUUCAAGUGGAUCACUAACUUCCUGACAGGACGCAGCAGGUGAGGCUGGGAAAAAUCACAUCCAGCACUUGGACUCUCAGCACUGGCGUCCCCCAGGGAUGUGUGCUCUCCCCACUGCUCUUCUCCCUCUGCACCAACGACUGCACCUCAGGGUUAAGGUUAGUGUCUCGUGUCUGGGUUAGGGUUAAUGUCUCGCGUUAGGGUUAGUGUCUAGCAUCUGGGUUAGGGUUAGUGUCUUGUGUCUCGUGUUUGGGUUAGUGUCUAGCUUUAGGGUCAACGUCUGUUAAACUCCUGAAGUUUGCAGAUGAAAUAACAGUCCUCGGCCUCAUCAGGAACGGUGAUGAGCCUGCGUACAAACGGGAGGUUGAACAGCUGGUCCUCUGGUGGAGUCAGAACAACCUGGAGCUGAACAAGCCCAAAACGUUGGAGAUGACGGUGGACUUUAGGAGGAGCCCCCCCAACACUACUCCCCCUCAUCAUACUGCGGUAGAGACCUUCAGGUUUCUGGGAUCCACAAUCUCCCAGGACCCGAAGUGGGCCUCCAACAUUAACGCCAUCUGGAAAAAGGCCCAGCAGAGGUUGUACUUGUUGCACCAGCUCAGGAAGUAGACUGUACAACAGACUACAACGGGUAGUCAGGUCUGCAGAGAGAACUAUUGGUUCCAGCCUCCCCUCCAUCAUGGACUUGUACACCUCCAGAGUCAGGAAGCGGGCUGGAAAGACCACUGCAGACCUUCACACCCUGGACACAAGCUGUUCCAUCUCCCCUCUGGUCGGCGCUCCAGAGCACUGGACGCCCAAACCACCAGACACAAGAACAGCUUCUGUCCACCGGCCAUCACUGUGAUGAACAGUUAAUCAGACACAUCCAUCUGCACUACUUGUACUAUCACCACCUUCUGCACUAACACCCGCAAUGCAUUGUCACUGUUGUUGUUUUUAUAUUGUACAUACAUGUUGCUACUCUGUUGUCUUUAAUGUAUUUCUAUAUCUUUGAAUCAACCUUUGUCAUUGCAGCUCCAGUCACGCAAUUUUGUCGUUCUGGAGACGUUUCCAAAUUGGAUCUGAUUGUUUUUAAAGUAGCAUUAGACUCAAUUUGUCAUUUAAUGCUCAGACUAUUUUUUCUCUCUCGAAUGUUGUGUAACUUCUUGGAGAUUACUUCACCUGGCUGAGUAAAUUACAAAAACGGUCCAAAUCAACGUCUUUAGAAAAUGGGUGUUUUGUUACAUUAGUUUAAUUUGCACUAAAGUAAUAAAGAGAAAUCAAGGGAUAAUCCAAGUAGAUGAAGGAAAACUAGGCCCUGAUCCUGGAGCGUCGCCAUUUUAGAAAACAAACAGAAAGAAUGUAAAUGUAACGAUUCAACCUCCAAAUCAAACAGAACUCCAAAUUACAGAGUGGUUCGUCAGGUUUGGUCUACUUUGUGUUUCACAACGGAGCUUCACGUAACUAUUCAUGUUCAGUAAUUUAGUAAAUGAAUAAUAGCUAACAAGGUGACGUAAGCCAUAGUAAUACGUAAGCUGUACAAGUAUCCACUCAGAGACUUUGACCCUGAAAGGGUUUGGAUUAGGUAUUGGGUAAAAAAUAUGUAUUUAAACAUGUGCUGUAAGUGGAACAAUAGUUUUAAUGCAAACUAUAAGACUGUUUAAAUAAAAGUAGAAACAGAUGAUUCAUGGUGCUAGUUUAAAUGGAAACAUGCUUUAUGUAAGUGUGUCGAUAUAAGAUAUUAUGUUAUAUUUACAUAUUGCCAUAAAGAAUUGUCAGUCUGCCUUUCACAGUCAAGGUUCAGGGAUAGUUAAAUUACAUUCUCGUGUUUCCUGGGCGUUUAUGACAAGAUGUGCGAUUUUAUAACAUUAUUAAUAUGUAUUUGCACUGAGAGGGAAGGUAUGGAGGUGUGAGUUGUGAUUGGGUCAUUUUCAGCCAAUAGAGGAUUGGUGAAACUGGAUAUAAUCUGUCGACACGGGAAUACUCUCCUGGCUCAGAGCCUCAGUCACAUGAUGGUUGAAAGAUGAAAAGUGAGCCGGAGAAAGGUGGAGUUAACCUAAGGGUUAGCGUUAGGGUUAGAACAGAGACAUUGGUGUCUCUGUUCCACCAAUAGCAGAGCAGGGGCCAUUCCUCUUAGACUGGGCUUUGCAAAACUGUGUGGACUUGGUCCACCAUAUGGCCACAGGAUGAAGUUUGAUAUUUUGUACGUAUUCAUUAAAACAAUGUGUCAUUUUUCAGUCAGAUGAGACAGAAAUUCAUUUAUCUUGUGCACAACUGAUGAUAUCUACAUUUUAAUGAGGAAUGCUGCGCUUAUUAAAGACUUAUUUGUUUCUUCUUUCUGUGACCCGGGGCUGUUCUGUCAGUGUCUGUGAUCCCUGACACGACAUCACACUCUUUUACAUAAAUGUUGUGAUUUCUAACACUCUUUUUUGUCAUAUGUUGUAUGUUCAUACACAAGCUGUCGUGGUUUUUGAUGUCUUGUUUAGUCUGUCUCCUGUUUGAUUAGAAGUGCACGCCUCA